rnacentral:lncRNA from 1 species
UUUGACCGCAGGUUUGUCUAAUAUUUUACUUACCAAUACACGGGUCAUUUUCUGGUCUCACUGUAGGCUCGAGAGGAAACUGAUCUAUGCUGGAUGCGGACAGCUCCCUGUGGCUGAUCCAUUCUCAACAAUGCUACCUGGUUAUCUAACUAUCAUGAACGUCACCCUGAUCAGAACCCUCGGACAGCUCUCACUGCUCACCAGAUGAAGUGUGAAAAGGACCCAGCCUUACUGAGUGUCAGUUCCACUGCCUACAUCAGCACAGCUAACCCCCUGACAGCCUGUGAGGGGAGAUUUUAUUCUUGUCCCCGUGACCAAGAAGUGGGAACUUAGACAUGUUGUAUCACCUGCCUCCGUUACAAAGGCAGUGAGCACUGGGGCCAACGUUUGGACAUCUGUGUCAUCCCAACCCUCAGAGAAGGUCUCCAACUUGACCCAGACCCUGUCUCCCACUGUUAUGCUGGUGCCUCCGUGGUAGGCACAUAGUACCAAGCCCUUCGUGAUUUUGGACUCCUGAAGGUUUAGAGGGAGCGAGCGUGGGAGGGUGUCCCAGCUUUUUCCUGCGUCUCUGGUGACACCUUCACAUAUAUUCCACACCCUAGAGCCACGGCUAAGCCCCCACUUCCCUUGUCCCAGCAGAGACGUUCUGCCCCCACCUCAGAGUCUGAGGUCUCACCGAGAAUGAUAGGUUUUCACACAAAGACCUUUCCUUUCCUUUGCGUUGUUCUGAAGCAGCUGCAAGGAGGAGGCGUGUUUCAUUUGGUUGCAUGUCGGUUGCUGUCAUCCGUGGCGCCCGGGCAGAGCUUUUUGGCACUUGCGGAGAGAGAAGGACAUGGAACUCCCCUCCAUGCUGGCCACCUCAUGGUUUUGGAACAAACAGGAAGAGAAAUGAUAAAUAUUUCAAAGCUGGCAUGCAAGGUUUACAGCAGCACAGCCUUACAAAUAUACUAACACCGCCGCAAAUCUCCUCUACGAGUGCGUUAAGUUCCGGCUCGGCUCUUGGCUCGGAACCAUACCAGCCCAGCGGGCGAAGGUACCCUCUCCGACAUUCUUAACUGGCUUGCUGGGAAGGUGAAAGGGAAGGAAGGCACAAACUCCAAGUCCGAAAGCAUGCAGGGGUGGUCGAGGAGCAGGAAAUGGACCCCCUCCCCCCCCCGCAUUACUGGCGGGACCAAAUGGUUGUGUUUUCUUUAUGUCCAUAGACAUAGCCAUUUACCGGCAAUUUCUCCUCCAGGUUUACUUGCACAUAUGGGGAAAGAAUACAUAAUGUCGUUUGUACUAAAGACUACAACCAAAUGAAAUGGCCAAAUGGAAUGGCUAAAGAAAUCACGAUCAACUCCUACAGUGUCUUGGCCAGGGACAGGCAAGGAGCCUUCCUAUCCUACUUCUUAGCUUUCCAUUUGGGAAGCCUCUGAGGUAUGGAUUCUGCCCCAGCCCCCAGAAUUCCCCGGCAGGUUUGUGCCGCAGUUGCCCACUGUAGUGACUCUGCGUGGCGCCUUCAGCUCAACAACAUGCCCUUCCCUCCUUCCUUCCCUUCCUCGUGUCACUUCCUCACUCUCUCCCUUGACAGUUUCCUGAAACCACCUCCCCAGGAAACUACAAGACGAUGUCAUACCCAGCUGUCCUAUCCUUAGGGAUGUAUCCGCAAGUGAUUUGCACCAGAAACCACAGCAGGGGCGUUUCUCGUGUCCGGAACAUGUACACCACGGGGGGUCCACCAUAGCCUACCCGGGAAGACUCCAGGCCACCCUCUUGCCAGUCCCAGCUCGUGUGGUGUCAGACCUGGUUGGCACCGAUCUGUCUUCCCAACAGCUGGGUUCUUAUUUCAGCUUAAAUGAGCUCCUGCUCGUCAAGGUCUCCUGCUCUUUCAGUCUGGCCUCCAAGUCAACGCUCUACGCGCACCUUUUGCGAUGUGAACCUCUCUUCCUCGGAAAGGAUAGUCAGGUGAAAGAAAGGGUGUCUCACUUGGUUCCACCUCUGACUCCUGAUUUUGGCUCAGGUCCUGAUCUCACAGUUCGCGAGUUUGAGCUCCGUGUUGGGCUCUGCGCUGACUGCACAGAGCCUGCUUGGGAAUCUCUCUCCCUCUCUCCCUCCCCCUCCCCCAGCUCUCUCACUCUCUCUCUCUGUCAAAAUAAACAUUAAAAAAAAAAUCA